AUGGCGAUCAGCAGCAGCUCUCGCCGGAAAAGUACAUCUUUCAAUAUUCAGGCCUUCCUUCCCAGGCGUGAUUUGACGCGGUUGAAACAUGGCGUCUUGAGAACAAAGCACAAACUUGUGCCAAAGAGAGACACAAGAGGAUUAGCUUACUCCAACACCCCCCCCCCCAACAACAGCAACAACCAUUCUGGGGAGAUGUCAAAGGCUUGUCAUCCCUGUGACCAGUCACUUCUCCGAUUGAGAACAUGGGGAUGGCUGGUACAUAAUUCCCCUCCAUGUCCUAGAGCCAAUGGAUCAGCCUGUCGAGCAAGCUGGUGGGGCCGGUGCUUGGGCUCUGGUAAAGUACGAGGCUCCAAGGAAACUGUGGGGAGCGUCUACGCCACCAGCCAUUCACACGUGCGUGUGCGUGCAGUGAGAGAUGGGAAUGAACCAUAAUAAUCCCUCCUUUAUCAUUAAAGUCUAUUGCUUUACUGGAAACGAAGGUUGUUUAUUGGUUAUUUAUUUUGUUUUUCUUAAAUGACCAAAAUUCCCUUUUUUCUCCCCACUUUUGGAAACCACAUCAUUCAUGGAGGGGGAUUGAGACAUGGCGGAGACUGGGAGGGAGCCUGCCAAUUUCCAGGCCCAAGUUUGUUGUGGAAACUUUGGGAGGAUGUGGUCGGGUAGCCGAAUCUCAGUGUGUUCACUACCAGCUGUGGCUCAUGCUCUGGGUCUAAGAUUCUGACUCAAGAAGUAUAAUUUGGCAUAAAGUCAAGGCUGUAGCAGCUAAGGAAGA
rnacentral:lncRNA from 1 species